rnacentral:miRNA from 1 species
AGGUGUUCUGGUGGGAUGUGAUU